CCUGACGGUAGUCGUAUGCUCGUCUCCGAGACUAAGCCAUGCAAGUCCAAGUACACGUCCUUGAACGACGGAAACUGCGAACGGCUCAUUAAUCAGUUGCGAUCUACUCGGCGUUCCGCGCCGCCGGAUAACCGUAGUAAUUCUAGGGCUAAUACGUGCGAAGCGCCCGAAGCCGCGAGGCGACGGGCGUUCUCGCCGGAUGUAGGAACCGACCCGGGGACCGCCGGGGCAACCCGGCGCCCCCGAGACGGGGCGAACCACGGUGAAAUGACGGAUCGUCGGCCCCGCGCCGGCGACUCGCCGAAUGAGUUUCUGACCUAUCAACUCGAGACGGCGGGGUAGAGGCCCGCCGCGGUAACGACGGGUAACGGGGAAUCAGGGUUCGAUUCCGGAGAGGGGAGCCCGAGAAACGGCUACCACUUCCAAGGAAGGCAGCAGGCGC
rnacentral:rRNA from 1 species